GUCUAUGGCCAUGCCACCCUGAACACACCCAAUCUCAUCUGAUUUCAGAAGCUAAGCAGGGUCGGGCCUGGUUAGUACUUGGAUGGGAGAAAUGUCCUGCACAAGAGGUAAACAAGUAGUGGUAUCUA
rnacentral:rRNA from 1 species